UGCAAGUCGAGCGAACAGAAGGGAGCUUGCUCCCGGAUGUUAGCGGCGGACGGGUGAGUAACACGUGGGUAACCUGCCUGUAAGACUGGGAUAACUCCGGGAAACCGGAGCUAAUACCGGAUAGUUCCUUGAACCGCAUGGUUCAAGGAUGAAAGACGGUUUCGGCUGUCACUUACAGAUGGACCCGCGGCGCAUUAGCUAGUUGGUGGGGUAAUGGCUCACCAAGGCGACGAUGCGUAGCCGACCUGAGAGGGUGAUCGGCCACACUGGGACUGAGACACGGCCCAGAUUCCUACGGGAGGCAGCAGUAGGGAAUCUUCCGCAAUGGACGAAAGUCUGACGGAGCAACGCCGCGUGAGUGAUGAAGGUUUUCGGAUCGUAAAGCUCUGUUGUUAGGGAAGAACAAGUGCGAGAGUAACUGCUCGCACCUUGACGGUACCUAACCAGAAAGCCACGGCUAACUACGUGCCAGCAGCCGCGGUAAUACGUAGGUGGCAAGCGUUGUCCGGAAUUAUUGGGCGUAAAGGGCUCGCAGGCGGUUUCUUAAGUCUGAUGUGAAAGCCCCCGGCUCAACCGGGGAGGGUCAUUGGAAACUGGGAAACUUGAGUGCAGAAGAGGAGAGUGGAAUUCCACGUGUAGCGGUGAAAUGCGUAGAGAUGUGGAGGAACACCAGUGGCGAAGGCGACUCUCUGGUCUGUAACUGACGCUGAGGAGCGAAAGCGUGGGGAGCGAACAGGAUUAGAUACCCUGGUAGUCCACGCCGUAAACGAUGAGUGCUAAGUGUUAGGGGGUUUCCGCCCCUUAGUGCUGCAGCUAACGCAUUAAGCACUCCGCCUGGGGAGUACGGUCGCAAGACUGAAACUCAAAGGAAUUGACGGGGGCCCGCACAAGCGGUGGAGCAUGUGGUUUAAUUCGAAGCAACGCGAAGAACCUUACCAGGUCUUGACAUCCUCUGACAACCCUAGAGAUAGGGCUUUCCCUUCGGGGACAGAGUGACAGGUGGUGCAUGGUUGUCGUCAGCUCGUGUCGUGAGAUGUUGGGUUAAGUCCCGCAACGAGCGCAACCCUUGAUCUUAGUUGCCAGCAUUUAGUUGGGCACUCUAAGGUGACUGCCGGUGACAAACCGGAGGAAGGUGGGGAUGACGUCAAAUCAUCAUGCCCCUUAUGACCUGGGCUACACACGUGCUACAAUGGACAGAACAAAGGGCUGCGAGACCGCAAGGUUUAGCCAAUCCCAUAAAUCUGUUCUCAGUUCGGAUCGCAGUCUGCAACUCGACUGCGUGAAGCUGGAAUCGCUAGUAAUCGCGGAUCAGCAUGCCGCGGUGAAUACGUUCCCGGGCCUUGUACACACCGCCCGUCACACCACGAGAGUUUGUAACACCCGAAGUCGGUGAGGUAACCUUUAUGGAGCCAGCCGCCGAAG
rnacentral:rRNA from 1 species